ACAUAAGCGGAGGAAAAGAAACCAACCAGGGAUUGCCUUAGUAACGGCGAGUGAAGCCGGCAAAAGCUCAAAUUUGAAAUCGGCCACCAGGUCGAGUUGUAAUUUGUAGAUUGUAUCUUGAGAGCGGAUUAAAGUCUGUUGGAACACAGCGCCUUAGAGGGUGACAGCCCCGUAAAAUCUAUUCUCAUUGUAAGAUACUUUCGAAGAGUCGAGUUGUUUGGGAAUGCAGCUCUAAGUGGGAGGUAAAUUCCUUCUAAAGCUAAAUAUUGACGAGAGACCGAUAGCGAACAAGUACUGUGAAGGAAAGAUGAAAAGCACUUUGAAAAGAGAGUGAAAAAGUACGUGAAAUUGUUAAAAGGGAAGGGUAUUGAAUCAGACUUGGUGCUGUUGUUCAACUGUGUUUCGGCAUAGUGUACUCAGCAGUACUAGGCCAAGGUGGGGUGUUUGGGAGUGAAAAAGAAGUUGGAAGGUAACUCUUCGGAGUGUUAUAGCCUACUUUCAUAGCUCCUCAGGCGCCUCAGGACUGCGCUUCGGCAAGGACCUUGGCAUAAUGAUUGUAUACCU
rnacentral:rRNA from 1 species